rnacentral:rRNA from 1 species
AUUGAACGCUGGCGGCAGGCCUAACACAUGCAAGUCGAGCGAGCGGCGGCCGGGUGAGUAAUGUAUGGGGACUGCCCGAUAGAGGGGGCUAACUACUGGACACGGUAGCUAAUACCGCAUACUAUCGGAUAACCCAUAUGGGAUUAGCUAGUAGGUGAGGGAAUGGCUCACCUAGGCGACGAGCCCUAGCUGGUCUGAGAGGAUGAUCAGCCACACGGGGACUGAGACACGGCCCAGACUCCUACGGAGGCAGCAGUGGGGAAUAUUGCACAAUGGGCGCAAGCCUGAUGCAGCCAUGCCGCGUGUAUGAAGAAGGCCCUAGGGUUGUAAAGUACUUUCAGUCGGGAGGCGUUACCGACAGAAGAAGCACCGGCUAACUCCGUGCCAGCAGCCGCGGUAAUUC